GAGAAACAAAAUAAAGAAAAUUUUCAUUUGAGGUUGAUUAUAUAAUUUAACUAGUUAGAGGUUGUUAAGCAGGUGGACAAGAUCAAUAAACCAAUUAUUCGUGGGUUGAAGUCCUAAGAACCGCAUGCUCCUUCCAUCCCAGAAACACAUGGGCAUGCCUAGCGAAAAAACAGCUUUGUUAGCUAUCUGGGUGCAAAAAGAAUUGUUCCAAUCUUUUUGGGCUUCCAUUCCAGUGCUAAAAUAUUCAGGAGAUGACAACCUACCAUCUCCUUAAGUGUUGGGCCUAUAGUGAGUACUCUCUUGCGUAACGAGUAACUAAUUUUUCAUAUUUUAGUUUCUAUAGUUAUCACGUAGAGCUAAGUCAAACUAUCUCAAGUUUGAUGGAAUUCGUUGAAGAAAAUAUUCAUAUCUACGAAACCAAGUAUGUAUGCCAAUAAAAUGUGUUUCAUGCCAAUAAAACCUGCCACAUUUCGAAACAUUGUAAGUUGUGUUGGCCAUAGUAACUUAUGCCGAAACCAUGUCUCUUCACGAAAAGACAGUUUUGUUAUCUCUCCUCAUAUCUUCUCUGCCAUACAUGCUAAAACUAUGUACUCCCUCCGUC
rnacentral:lncRNA from 1 species